AGCGAACGCUGGCGGCAGGCUUAACACAUGCAAGUCGAGCGGGCGUAGCAAUACGUCAGCGGCAGACGGGUGAGUAACGCGUGGGAACAUACCUUUUGGUUCGGAACAACACAGGGAAACUUGUGCUAAUACCGGAUAAGCCCUUACGGGGAAAGAUUUAUCGCCGAAAGAUUGGCCCGCGUCUGAUUAGCUAGUUGGUGAGGUAACGGCUCACCAAGGCGACGAUCAGUAGCUGGUCNGAGAGGAUGAUCAGCCACAUUGGGACUGAGACACGGCCCAAACUCCUACGGGAGGCAGCAGUGGGGAAUAUUGCGCAAUGGACGAAAGUCUGACGCAGCGACGCCGCGUGUGGGAUGACGGUCUUCGGAUUGUAAACCACUGUCGGGAGGGACGAAUACGCCGCAAGGCGGGUGACGGUACCUCCAAAGGAAGCACCGGCUAACUCCGUGCCAGCAGCCGCGGUAAC
rnacentral:rRNA from 1 species